rnacentral:tRNA from 1 species
GCCCCGUUAGCUCAGUUGGUUUAGAGCGUGGUGCUAAUAACGCCAAGGUCAUAGGUUCGAUCCCUGUACGGGGCA